GGAUCAUACAGCAGCAGAGCUGGGACUGGGACACAAGUCUCCGGACUUCCAUGCUAGGAUCCUAUCUACCUGAUUGUGCUGCCUCUUAGGACAGAAGCUACUUUGUACCAGUGCAAGCUGGUCUCCAUAUUGGAAGAGAAGGUUCAACGUCUGAAGCAACAGGUAUCGACCCUGCAUUGCAAAAGAGAAACUGAAGUUUUCUUGGACAGACGUCAGGAUAUGCUUCUACGGGCACAACAUUCUGAAGAUUCAGAGCAGGCUGCGCAGCAGGGACAGAAGGACGGUGAAGAAAUUUGGCAGCAUGUGACCUUCAGAAGAAGAAAGGAGAGCAUUCAUGUACCAGCAAUGCAGAUACAGCACUGGCUGGAAGCCAGGGACAGCUAGGAGAAUGCUGCUCCACAAAGGAGACCCUGAGAGAUGGCCAGGGCUUGAGGCUGGCAGAAAGGAGAGCUUCCCACUUCCCAGCGAGGGAUGCCAGACCUUUACAUUGACCGCCAUCUCCACAGCCAGAAAGCUGAGGGUAGACGCAUAAGGUGGAAAGAGGUGAGCAGUGUUGCAGUGAUCACCCUCAUACAGACGAGCACUCCACUACCUCACAGGAAGGAGGCCUAAGAGAAGAACAGUGGAGCAUCCCUUGUGCUACCUCUUACUCAGAAGCAUCUGUUUGGAGAAUUGAGCGUCGCAAGAGUAGAA